CAGGGGUUGAGUGCUUGUCUGAAUAUUUUUCCAUCAGUAAGAAUCCUUCACACUUUUGAGCGAGCAAAAAUGGCACUCUGGCUAAAUAUCAUGUCCUUGUUAGUUGUCCUUGGAGGUGCUCAAUCUGAGGUUCAGUUGGUGGAAACUGGAGGGGAUGUGAGAAGACCUGGAGAGUCCCUGCGUCUCUCCUGCCAAGCCUCUGGAUUUACUUUCAGCAGCUACUGGAUGAGCUGGGUGAGACAGGCUCCAGGGAGAGGACUGGAGUGGGUGGCAAGUAUACGCUCUGAUUCUGCAUAUAUUUACUACUCUGACAAAGUGAAGGGCCGCUUUACCAUCUCCAGGGACAAUGCCAAAAGCCAGCUGUAUCUGCAAAUGAACAGCCUGAAAGCUGAAGACACAGCAGUCUAUUACUGUGCGAGAGACACAGUGAGAGGAACUAUAUGUGAAGCCAUGCAAAAACUGUUAAUGACAAUGAAGUUAAUUAUAUUUGACAAUGAAGUUCUGACUUCGGCAGACUCAGCAACAUAUUUUUAG